rnacentral:lncRNA from 1 species
UGACAAUUCCAAAUGGAGCUGCGAAAAUGGAAAAAAAAUUAAGGGUCUGAGGGAAAUAAUUUUCUCUCUUGAAUAUGUUUCUUUAAAAAGAAAAAGAGGCUAAUUUAAGUGACAAUGUCUGGGUGUUUCUAAAGGGUUGAAAAUUAAGCGCCCAGUUAUCUGGUCAACUUUAAAAUAAAGGCAGUUAAACACACUCUGGGCCGGGCACGGUGGCUCACACCUGUAAUCCCAACACUUUGGGAGGCCGAGGCAGGCAGAUCACCUGAGGUCAGGAGUUCAAGACCAGUCUGGCCAACAUGGCGAAACCCCAACUCUACUAAAAAUACAAAAAUUAGCCAGGUAUGAUGGUGCACGCCUGUAAUCCCAGCUACUCGGGAGGCUAAGACAUGAGAAUCGCUUGAACCCAGGAGGCAGAGGUUGCAGUGAGCCGAGACUGUACCACUGCACUCCAGCCUGGGCGACAGAGUGAAACUCUGUCUCAAAAAAUGAAAAUUACACACACACACACUGUCAUAGAAGAAUUUCUGGGCACUGUCUAAUUAAGGACACUGCUCUGCUCCAGAGAACCUAGGGGGUCAUGUUCUCACUCGCCGCUCCCUCGUCCUAAAAGGGAAGUGCUGCGUAUUUAAAAUCACUGAAAGAAUCACAUGAUUUCCUUUAUUUCUCUGGCCUUAAAACCUCCUGAGUGGGUAAUCUGACUCACAGGUCUAGGAAAAAGGCCAUUCAGGAUAGUAAUAUUGGCUGGUAUUUUACAAUGGAGCUGCAGGCAUCAGCACCAGCCUCCUAAGGACAUCUUGAAGAUGGACACAAAGGGAUGCAAUUCAUUCUCGAAGAAGAAAAAAAAAAUCCCACACAACUCAGCCAGGGCCUGCUAGCAUAACCAAUCCCCACCCUUCCCUCCUGCUUUUCUUAUUUCACAGUCUCUGUGGCUCCCUGCAGAUGGAGCUGCUGCCUGUACUCCCAGGCUGGUCUUUCCAUGGCGCAGCUGACCGUUCUGCUGCCCUCUGCCCUGGGCUCCCAUUCAGGCAGAAAUUCCCAUUAGACGCUCCGCACAGAAGACAGGACUCGGCUGGCAGAUGUGACCCCUUCGUGAUGAUGAUACAAUGCGACAGAAUCAUACCAGACUUCCAGAGCACUACCCUUGCCGCCCGAGUGUCUGCUCUGCCUCCUCCUUCCUCUCCCUCUCUGUCCUCCUUUGCACACUUGCUCUUCAGAGCCUCUUGCAAAGGGGCAGCAGCCAGAGGCUUCCAUCAUAUGUUUAGAGACCACCGAUUGGGUCUCACUUUUGGUCACUCUCCCAUCGGACGCUAAAUAUGCCAACUGGAGCUUGGCUCAUGUCUGGCUCUCCUAAUGUUGUUUACCUUCUUUCCUGAACUUUAUGAUCGAUGAUAGGGGUGUGAGACGUGUGGAAUAAUGGAGACAGACAUAAGACUAAUAAAUUAAAAGCAACUGGGUGAACUGAGAGUUUUCCCAUCUUCCUUACUAAACCUGACUUUAUAAUACUCCUACUAGCUUCUAAAAGAAUAACAGAAAUGGAAAAGACCAUCUCUAGUCAAUACCCCUUCACUCGAUGUGAUUUUCCAGAUGCUGGGAAGGGCCCUCCAACCCCAGCUCCCCACUCUCCUGCCCCUGUCAUUGGUGCAUGAUUAUACUUAUCUAGCAGACAGAAGCCUUUGUUCCCAGUGGUGACAGCUUUGGUGACUCUGGAGGCUUUAGGGUUCCCUGAUUCUAGCAACACCCUGAAAGACACACCAACAGUCCUUCCCAAUCUCCUUGUGAUCUAAGUUAGAGCUCAGAGGAAGCACAGCUUCACAAGGUCCAUCCUCCCCAGCGGCAUUCCUAGGCCCUCCAGCCAGCCCACCCUCUGCCUUCAUCCCAGGGUUGUUUGGCUCCUAUUGGGGGUCUAUGGGCGGGAGCACCACAGCUGCAUUACCGAGCACAUUCCUGCCUCCUGGUCUAGAGGCCUGAAAAAGGCUGGCUGUUUUCACAACUCAUUUAGCAGGAGCACCUGACCUGACCUGAGCCCUCCUGGUGGAAAACCCAGCCGGGUCUUCUGUGAGGUGUUUUGGUCUGGACUUGUCGGCUGAUGGACAGCUGCGUCCAUCAGUAUCCCUUUCCCGGCAGGGAACUACUUGAGGGUCCUCAGGACUGCACUUCUUUGUCUUUGUAUCUCCAGUGCCUAGGACAGGAGGGGCACGUAAUAAGUGCCCUAUAAAUAUUUGCUGAGUUUAAUUGAAUCUUUAUUUGAACACUGAGGAAAAAAGCAAGUGACACCGCAUGGAACGAUCCUUCAGGACGGGGAAAUUCAUCUUCCUGUUCACUGAUCCUCUCUUCUGUUCAUGGAAUUAGUCCUUCAUUUAAUUAACAUGUAUCAAGGGCCAACUAAGCCUAGGUUUCAGGCUUUCUGCUGUGUCUCAGGAAAGUAGAAGAGUAAUAGGCAAUCUCUGUGCUUGCUUAGUUCAUAGCCAAGUAGGGAAGACAGCUAAUAAGGCAGGAUUUUAGUACAGUGUGAUAAGAGUGCUGAUAAAGGUGCAUACGUCACAAAAGCACGAAGCUAGGCAUCUAACCUCGCUGUCUGGAAGGGACAUUGAGGCAGAGAGAACAGUGAGAACAUCGGCAUGGAGAUGUGGGAGACGUGAAGUUUUGUGCAAACAGCUCAGUGAGGCUCCAGUGUGGCCAUCACAGGAGGAUGAUCAUGGGAGAGACACAGAAGGAAGCAAGACAGGAGGAGCUAACGAGGCCCAAGCAAAGGGACCUUGCCUACAUGCUAAGGAGGCUGGGCUCUGUCCCAGAGCACCACAGGAGGUGAUUAAGCUGGAUAGUGACAGGAUCAGAUUUGCAUUUACUGUAAAGUCAGGUGUAGUGGCUCACGCCUUUAAUCCCAGCACUUUGGAAGGCCGAGGUGGGAGGAUCGCUUGAGGCCAGGAGUUCAAGACCAGUCUGGGCAACAUAAAGAGACCUCAUCUCUGCAACAAUAACAAAAAAGAAAGAUGACUUUAAACACUAAAGACAUUACUGCUUGUACA